UUCCCGUACUUGGUGUUACUGCGAAGGGGGGACGGAGAAGGCUAUGUUGGCCGGGCGACGGUUGUCCCGGUUUAAGCGUGUAGGCUGGUUUUCCAGGCAAAUCCGGAAAAUCAAGGCUGAGGCGUGACGACGAGGCACUACGGUGCUGAAGCAACAAAUGCCCUGCUUCCAGGAAAAGCCUCUAAGCAUCAGGUAACAUCAAAUCGUACCCCAAACCGACACAGGUGGUCAGGUAGAGAAUAC
rnacentral:rRNA from 8 species